GGUGAAGAUCACCACUAUGUAAUUAAAGAGAGGCCUUAUGUCAAAAACACCAGGGCGUGAAGGCCUGAUGAUAUCAGUAUACAUAUAAGCAUGUCAAGUUAUUAAUAGAUUAUUUCAUAAAACCACUUCUCUGCCUGUGCUAUAAACGUUGUUGUAGUAUAGAAUAGAGUUUAGUUGCUCUAAUGGGGAAAAAUUGUGUUAUACAAAGCAAC